ensembl:lncRNA
CUGUCCGGCCGCCUUCCUUGCUUCUCAGAUGCGUGUGACUAGAUUGGGCCCACCUGGGUAACCAGGCUACUUUCCCAUCUCCAGGUCCACACCCUUCAUUCCACCUGCUGUCCUUUGGCCGGAUGGAAACUGAAAGAAACUUCAGUGGAAGCCGAGGCACAGACGGGGAGCUGGAGAGAGUCAGGGAUGCCAGGCUGCCUGUCUGCUGGAGACCAGGGCCGCACAGUGUACCGGAGGAGAAAGCUCCCAGAGAGAAUGUGCUGGCAUCAGCUCCGAGGCAAUGAGUGUGCAAGUGGCUAAACCGGAGCUGUCCUUCUUCAUCCGCUGACUUCGAGGUCCUCCGUUCAUGCUAAUUCCAGGCCCUGUGGGGAGUCUGCUCAGGGAAGGCCGAGGCCCUGUACACAGAUUCUCUCACUUGAUGCCACAACCACCUGCUCAGGUUCUGGGUUCACCAUAUCUUCCUAAUGCUGGGUGUCAGAUGGGGGGUCUGCGGGUCUGCAGCUUCGACCUAGAAGAUUCUGGAGCACAUGACGUUGAGAACCGUGUAGCCAAGAAUUCCUGACUAGACCACAGAUCCAGGAAGGUUGGAGAUGGUGCUCCCCCUGCUGCUGUCAGAGCUUCUUCGGGGCUCCUGCUCUCAGCUGCCCCUGUCGAGGGGGCUUCACAUGCAGGGGAGCUCAGACAAGGGCGUCCAGGGUGGAGGGGGCUCCUGACGUCAUGGCCCACGAGCCACAGUUAAUGGCAUUUUCAGUCUGGAGCUGAGGAGCUGGGGUGGGGACACUUGGAGCUGAAGGCGCCCACCUGCAGGGCCAUCUUGCUGGAGAGGAGCUGGCUUCAGCAGGGAGACCCCCAAAUGCAGAACCAGGACUGAGGGGCACAAGUUCCAGGAGAUUUUACUUCAAGACGGUGAAGAACGUUGUGACGGCUGGAGCUGUCCAACGGCCGGAGACGUGGGCUCCAGGGCGGGCUGGCCGGGCCGAGGCUCUGCCCCGCUCUUCUCGGUUGUCCCAAAGAUGUAAUCCCUUCUGCCUAAGCUUUCUCGUCAAUAACAUGGGGACAACAGCAGCAGUCACUCAUGGAGAUGAAGCGAGUUAGUACACGACAGUGCGUGGAGCUGUGUGCAGCCAGCGUUCAAUAAGUGUCAGCUGGAAUUGCUGUUGCAUCCCUAUCACCGAGGAUGGAAGGACUUGCCCUAUGGGCUGAUGGACCUCCCACGAUGCUGGAACACUCCUUGUUGAUUUGAGGGGCAUCUGGAAGACCCUUCCACCCUAAAGUAAGGUUUCCAGUUGUCUGCUAUUGUCAUGGAUCAAAAUGGGUUUUGCCUCCCAGCCUUGGCCUCUCUGGAAUGUCUCCUAGGACCUGGGGAAUAAAUGGGAAGAGUCAGUGUUUAGACCCAGCCCGGCCGUGGUGGUUCUCCCGCCGUCAGGUUGCCAUUGGUCAGAUGCCCAUCACUCGGACAUCACCAAGUCACCUAGAAUUCUUAGGCCUUUGAGAAAAAGUGUGCCGUGCAGGUCAGUGGUGUGACUAUGGGGCCAACAUCUCUGCAGGGAUCUAGGCUUGGGGACCGGAUGCAUUUCACCCCGUGGACACCACUAGCAGUUCCCUCUGCGACGGGCUCUGUUUGGUGAGAGCCUGUAGAGACGGAGAUGGCAGGACAGCGCCUGAGGAUGAGGAGGGCGAGGAUGGAGGAGAAAAUGACGAAGAUGACAGUCCUUACCACUGUCACUCACCCUUUACGAGCGCUCACAGUGUCUCAGAUACAACAUGCAAUGUUGCAGCAAACAUUGAGGCAGAUGCUGCCGUCUCCACUUCGUUUACAAGUGGACCGAGGCUUGUGGAGUUGAAGCUCCAUUUUCAAGACUACCAAGCAAGCAGGAGGUAGAGACAGGAUUAGGACUCAGUGUGGGUGUCCACGCCCUUAACCACUGAGCAAGACUGCCUGGACCAGCGACCUUGGUCCCUUGCUCAGGUAAGACUAGCUCCUUGAGAGAGAAGGACCCAUGUGUGGCACAAGCUUGGUGCCAAUGAAGUGAGUUGGAGAGAGGGGCCGUGGAGG